AUCUGAAACAGGCUCCAGGCUCUGAGCUGUCAUCACAGAGCCCAAGGCAGGGCUUGAACCCACGAACUGUGAGAUCAUGACCUGAGCCGAAGUCGGAUGCUGAAUCAACUGAGCUACCCAGGCGCCCCUCAGCAACUCAGUAUUAAGAAUUGCAGAUUUCUUUUGUAGGGUCAUUGGACCUCUAUGCCUGAAACAGACUGGAAGAAACAAAGGGGAGAGAGGCUGCUUUAGAAUCCAAAAAGCCAAGAUGGUGUUUCUCCCAGAGAGGCACGGAGAGUGUUGCACAUAGUCAUUUUUGUUUCCAUUAAGCCUCUGGUAGCUAAGAAAGUAAGAGAUGGCCAAAGAGCCCCCUCAUCCCACUUUAUCUUUGCGUGAUAGCAGAUGGCACGUGGAGUUUAACUGAUAUCAUCGCAUCCGUGACA
rnacentral:lncRNA from 1 species